UGAUGAAAAUUCAGAUCGUGAAGAUCGGUCAGAGAAUGGGAACGAAUGGGACGAUCUUAAUAUCGAUGAGCUUGAUGAUGAUCAGGAAAACAACUCGGAGCUCUCGAAUGAAGAUUACAUUAGUCAGUUCAUUUCCGAAUGUCAUAAUGCGUACGACUAUUACGGUGAAUCCGACGCGGAGACAGGCCUUAACGACGAAUCAUUAGAUGCACCUGGUUCUGGGGAGUCC